CACAAAUAAAGAGGAAUACACACAAUGUGUGAAGUAGGCCAUAUAUACAUUUAAGUUGAUGAAUUCAAUAUAUAGUUUGUUUUUUAAUAUUUUCUUAACAAUAUAUAAUUAUUUCAACGUCCUACUUAAAGCAUGCCCGAGCCUUGUGCAGGAUAUCUUGGUAGUUUUAAAUAUUUUCAAAACACACAAAUAAACAUUGCGCGGGCUACUUGAGGUAUGCCUGACCCCCUGUAUGCACGAUAUCUUGGUAGUUUUAAACGUUUUCAUAAAAUAUAAGUAAACAUAUUCGCGGACUUAACUUGAAGUAUGCCAGAGCCUUGUGUUAGUUUAAAUGUUCCUGA
rnacentral:lncRNA from 1 species